AGGACUUGUAUCCACGGUCAUGAAUAUUAUUAAAAAAUAUUAACACAACACAAUUCGAAAUAAUAGCGGCCUCUCAUAAUAGCCUUCAAACAAAAUAUAAUGUAAUUACAAUUAAUAAUUUCAGAGAACUAAGAAAAGCCCUAAUCAGCGACGGGUCCUCCAACGGAGGCCUAUAUUACGACAUACAAGAAUAUUUCACACACUACAAGUUUUUUUUACAAACCAGUAAUUACGAUGUGGGCUUGGUAAAGUUGGUAGAGAGAGUGCAUUUUAGUCCACGCGUGGGCAAGAUCGGUUUGGUGGACCACAACACUAUUGUGCAUGUUGGUGACACGCUGCAUGUCGCUGGAUGGAGGUAUAUUGACCCUCAAGAUACAAAUUCAAGUGAUCUGAAUGUAACAAGUACGUCUGUGGAGGUGGUGUCCCGAGACAGUUGUAGAGUGUUGUCUUUGGGCAGGAUUGUCACGUCCGCCAUGAUGUGCGGUGAAUUGGCGGGAAAAGAACGCGCGGCUGACACCGGCGCACCCUUGUACCUCGACAGGGUGCAAAUAGGGGUGGCGUCUCGUCAAACCAGCGGACUCAACCCUGCUCUCUUCACAGAGAUUAACUCAACUCGUCUUUGGAUUCUAAAUGUUAUUAAUAAUCGGAAUUAAAUAGAUUUUAAAAUAAGAUAGAUGAAUUUAUAGAUGAUACCAAUA